GGGCCCUCCUCCUGGUUCACAGCUGGCGCCUGUUUGCUAUAUCCUUACAUGUGGAAGGGACUAGGGAGCUCUGUGAGGUCUCUUUUAUAAGAGCAUUAAUCUCAUUCGUGAGGACUCUACCCUUAUGCUCUAAGCACCUCCAAAGGCUCCAUCUCCUAAUACCUCACAUCAAACAUUAGGAUUUCAACAUAGGAAUUUUUUUAGCGGAGGGACACAAACAUUUAGACCAUAGCAAUGCACACCCCUUCCCUCUCAUUGUUGGACCAAUCUUGCGUAGAUUCCACUCUAGUCACUUUCAGUUAUGCAAACAGUCUCAUUUAGGCAAUUAUAACUCAUUUUUGGGUUUUAGAAGAUUCAGCUCAGCUUAAUAUCAAAACAGCAAUCCCACGUCCAGGGGACCUACACUGUUGGAAGAGUCUCUCCCUCUUUUUCAAUUAGUUGAAGAGACGCGAGUCUUUUGCCACUGGUGCUGCUAUUGUUCUAUCCUGGCCACUCUCUUAGGCAGGUCCCAUGAAGACAGCUUGAGCAUGCUUACCUUCCGUUGCAUCUGUGAGUCGGUGGGAAGCACUUGCAUCCUCGCCACCCAGAAGUCUAGAUUGCUCCAGUUCAGCUCUCUCUUUACCUUCAUGGCAAAUGGCUGCACCUGGCCUCCUGCUUGCUAUAGUCACCAGCUGGUGCCAGAAUGACCUAUCAAAAAUGGAAAUUGGAUCACAUUACUACCCUGCAUAAAGUGUGCUGAUAGUUCUUCAUGGGCUUUGCCUACAGGAUAAAUUCCAAAUUUCUUAACUUGGCUUAAAAAUUUCUACCU
rnacentral:lncRNA from 1 species